GGCUUCGUGGUCGAGUGGUAAGGAGAUCUGGCCCUCACACUGGUGUCCCGGGUUCGAUUCCCGGUCGAGUAGCUA